rnacentral:rRNA from 1 species
CACGUAGGUCCCGAGCGUUGUCCGGAUUUAUUGGGCGUAAAGCGAGCGCAGGUGGUUUAUUAAGUCUGGUGUAAAAGGCAGUGGCUCAACCAUUGUAUGCAUUGGAAACUGGCAGACUUGAGUGCAGGAGAGGAGAGUGGAAUUCCAUGUGUAGCGGUGAAAUGCGUAGAUAUAUGGAGGAACACCGGUGGCGAAAGCGGCUCUCUGGCCUGUAACUGACACUGAGGCUCGAAAGCGUGGGGAGCAAACAGG